GAUGAACGCUGGCGGCGUGCCUAAUACAUGCAAGUCGAGCGAACAGACGAGGAGCUUGCUCCUCUGACGUUAGCGGCGGACGGGUGAGUAACACGUGGAUAACCUACCUAUAAGACUGGGAUAACUUCGGGAAACCGGAGCUAAUACCGGAUAAUAUAUUGAACCGCAUGGUUCAAUAGUGAAAGACGGUUUUGCUGUCACUUAUAGAUGGAUCCGCGCCGCAUUAGCUAGUUGGUAAGGUAACGGCUUACCAAGGCAACGAUGCGUAGCCGACCUGAGAGGGUGAUCGGCCACACUGGAACUGAGACACGGUCCAGACUCCUACGGGAGGCAGCAGUAAGGAAUCUUCCGCAAUGGGCGAAAGCCUGACGGAGCAACGCCGCGUGAGUGAUGAAGGUCUUCGGAUCGUAAAACUCUGUUAUUAGGGAAGAACAAAUGUGUAAGUAACUAUGCACGUCUUGACGGUACCUAAUCAGAAAGCCACGGCUAACUACGU
rnacentral:rRNA from 1 species